AUUGAACGCUGGCGGCAGGCCUAACACAUGCAAGUCGAACGAGUGGCGGACGGGUGAGUCAUGUCUGGGAAACUGCCUGAUGGAGGGGGAUAACUACUGGCAACGGUUGCUAAUACUGCUUACCCUCUGCUGUGCCCAGAUGUGAUUAGCUAGUAGGUGUGGUAAAGGCUCACCUAGGCGACGAUCCCGAGCUGGUCGGCGAGGAUAACCAGCAACACGGGAACGGAGACACGGUCCAGAAUCCUACGUGAGGCAGAAGUGGGGAAUAUUGCACAAUGGGCGCAAGCCUGAUGCAGCCAUGCCGCGUGUAUGAAGAAGGCCUGCGGGUUGUAAAGUACUUUCAGCGGGGAGGCGUUACCCGCAGAAGAAGCACCGGCUAACUCCGUGCCAGCAGCCGCGGUAAUUC
rnacentral:rRNA from 1 species